GACAGGGUUUCUCCGUAGCUCGUAGUCCUGGAACUAGCUCUUGUAGUCCAGGCUGGCCUUGAACUCACAGAGAUCCGCCUGCCUCUGCCUCCCGAGUGCUCAUCUGAUUUUUUGAAGAUCACUGAUGCACUUUAGAGAGGUGGAGGAUAGAUGUGCCUGCACAGCACUGGUUUCCACCCGACCUAAACGAUGGGCCAGCACGUAUGCUGUGCACAGCGGUGGUGCCCUGUGCGCUUUCCCACAAUUCCUAUCACUUCUCAUUGUGCAAUGCUUGGCUGGUUUUAUUCUUUUAUACUGCCGUGUGGAGACGCUGGAGUUUAUAGGCCUGAUUAAGAUCGAAAUUCCAGUUCUUGGACUUCUCGGUGUUGCAAUGUUUGUCCAAUGGGGAAUCUAUUUUUUUUUUUAACGAAGAUGAAAGUUACUGAAAUUGAACUUGUGAACAGACAUGCUAAUACUUGUUUUCCUUUCGGGAAAGAGGAGAACACGGAGCUAGGAGAUACACCUGAAGUUACUGUGCUUGCCCUUGGGUGAAGAAGACAAGAAGCAGGAUGUGAGCACAGACACAAAUGCAUGAUGGGAAACAACCAGCUAAGAGGAAGGAGGACGCUCCCACAUUCCCCUGAAAAGACAGCCCAUCCUCAAGGGAUUUCCUAACCUGCUAGAGUAAAAGAAGCAUCUGCUGAAUCAAGUGUGGACCAAAGCUGCAAGACCAGGCUGGCCCUGAACCCACACCUGCCGGGAUUAAAGGUGUGCACAGCCACCUCCCAGCUCCUCUGCACACUCUUGAGGCCUGAGGAGUCAGAGGAGUCAGACUCCAAGUUUCUGCUUCUUCCCUAAACUCUGAACAGGGAGACGAUGGAGACUCUCUCCUCCUCUGUAGACCAGGCUUAAAGAAGCAGAGCAAAUACAGAACCAGAUGGGGCAAUCCAUAAACAAAGGCAAAACUCUGAAGCCUUGCUUGCUCGUGAGAGCACUGACUGUCCUAGCUGUGCUCCUCAAGGAUCCUAAAAGAAGAGAAGCACCCAGCGUCCAGGCAGAAUACUAGAGACAGACACAUUUUUAAAAAAUCCUCAGGGGAAGUAGAAAAAGACAAGAUCUCCUGAGUCAAUUGCCCUCAGUGUCCUCACUCUUGGGCAUUUCCAGCCAGCUCUCCUGUUCUAUCACACAGAUGUGUGCCUGAUUCUCAAGUAGAAGGAGACGCAAUUUCCAGCAAACAUGGGGCAUGUAUAGUUAAGGAUGCUUAAAAUAAUCCAGUUUAUAAUACAAAAUGCAGAAAGUAAAAGACAAAAAUAUCGUUUGCUGGUUAAAACGCAUCCUUGAGAUUAUGGAGUUUUAGACUUUGGGGAUACCACAGGACGACGUGAUGUAAACAGCUUGCAACAGGAAAGAUCCGCAGUAAUGUGUGCUAACAAGCCACAGAGAACACUGGGUGUGUUCAGACGAGAACAGCGCUAACAGUUGUCCCAUACAGGAGCACUGACCAGGUGCCAGGAACUACGUGCAUGGACCCACACGGACUACUUCAACUGAUCCCCACAGCAUCUUUAGGAAGCCAACCCCAUUAUUAUCUGCAUUUUAUAGCAGAGAAAACUAAGGCUUGCCUAACUUGUCUAGAUGCCAAACAAGCUGGGGAACUGGGAUUUGAAUCUCCACGGACUGGGUGAAGCCAAAGCCUGAGCUCUUAAACACCACAUUACACAGUGUCUCAGGAAUCCAACAAAAGAUGGAAGAUACCUCUCAGAAUAUACACUUCAUUUUAAAAUAUGCAAGUGGAAAUCAAUCUGUAGUUUUCAUAAAUAUGUGUCGGCUAUCUUUGCCAGUGGAGUAACUUCUCAUUGUGAAUAUACAGACAAGGUUUGGUUGGGUUCACAUUUCCUAGUUUCUCAAUCACUACUUUGCUCUUAGUGACUACUGAGUCACUAAGAACUCAUAUCACACAAAACCUAGCAUUUGGAGUUAGGGAAAUCUUGUCUUUGGAGAGAUUUUUUUUUUCAGUGCAUGCACUUGUAACAGGUUUCUCAAGUCCAGUUCCGGAGGCCAGAGAGCCCUAACACUACCCUGCCCUAAGCUGACCCCACACCGUCCACUCUCAUGGCUCCAGGGCCAAUAUCACUGUGCCUGUUUCUCCACGCUUGCAUAACCACCACAAAAGUAGCUGGGCAGCCCUGGCGCUCUGCCCAUUAAUCCUUCUGUGGCCACACGUUUUUUCCAGCUGCUCCCAAUCCUCCACCUUUCCAUUCUCCCUCCCCGGCAAGCUCGGACUCUAUCAUCAACUACAUGUCCACAGUCCAAACACCCGAACCUCUUUUCUCAAAUUUCCUCCUCUCCUCAGAGAGAAGUCCCCAGGGCAGGCCUCUCACUGGUUGCUGCUCUAGCUCUUGGCACGUGUUCCACUGGGCCAGGCUCAGCAACACCACUUCAAAUGUGCUCCUCACCUCUCCCUAAACGCUGAGCCUUCUGCCAUCAGACCGCAUCGGUCACCAGGCUUCGUCGUACGCCAGUUCUCAAGAUUCCCAUCACUGGGAAGCUGGAUGAAUUUAGCCCCUGACUCACAGCCAUAUCUUCUCAUCACUAUUCUCAGUGGUACGGGGGCACAAGCCCAUAAUCCUGGCACUCAGGAGGCUGAGACAGGAGGAUGGCGACUUCAAGGUCAAUCUGACAGACGGAGACUGUACUGAAGCAAAAGGACCUUCAGGUGGUGGAGGCACGUGCCUUUAAUCCCAGCACUCAGAGGCAGGGUUGAUCUCUGUAAGUUUGCAGACAGCCUGGUCUACAGAGCGAGUUCCAGGACAGCCAGGACUACACAGAGAAACUCUGCCUCAGGAAAAAAAAAAUUUGCCCAGUAGCAGGUGUUAAUAAAAUGUUGUAUCAUAUUUAAAAA